AUGGGGUGUUAUUAUGACUUGUUCAUGGCAAUAUCUUCAGCAACUGAUUCAGCACAGAUUAGGGACCAAAGAAAGAUUAAGAUGUCAAGCUUGCAUUUGAAAGGAACAUUAUAUUUGGGAGGAAUCUUUCAGUCUGAUAGGGGAGAAAAAGAAGCUGAUCUGAAUUGCAGUGCUGAACAGUAAUUGCCACAUUCAGUGUAACAUGGAAGACUUAGCCCAGCUGAUAGCUGAUAAAUGCUUGAAAAGUUAAGUGGAAGUUAGUUCAGUAAGGGAAAAGACUAAAGCAUGGAUAGAAUUGGGAAUGUGGAACAGCUUGUUCAAAUAUAUGAAACCAAAUGUGAAUAUGCUUUUGCACUUGUAAAUAGUUCAUAAUGGCUGGAGUGUAGAGUGGGAGGAGAAUAGUGAAGGAUGAAGCUGGUAAGUAUAUUUCUCAACAAACAGGACUUGAGUGCUAGACUUACUAUUUUCAUCCCACGUGCCUUGAUUUCAGUAUAAUACAAUCUUGCUUUGCCAUAUGGAGAUUGUACUGUGGAACAAGUAUAGAAUAUCUUAUUUUCCUCAGAUAAAAUGUAGUUAAAUGGUAAACUGCAGUAUGGCAAUUUGAUUCUAAUAUUUAAUUUCUGAGUAAUACUUUACCUAAGAUGUAAAAUUGACUCUUUAUAAGAAAAAUAAAUGCUUGCCACAAGCAUAGUAUUAUAUUGGUAUGAAGAACUAAGAGGACUGUUUUAUUUAUUUUAAUUAAAUUACCAACUGCCUAUUUAUAAACUUUAUUGCUUUAACAAUAUGGCUAGUUUGACUAUUGAAUUAAGUUUCCCUUUCUUCUUUUUUCUCUGAAAAACCUUUAUCCUUCUGUGACAGUGUUCAAGAAAUUGAUUUUACCAAUCUCAUUCUAAUUUCAUGGUUAAAUCUUAAUUUUUUCUGUAAGCAGCUACGCUUGAUAUGUGGCAAAGAGAAUUUAUACACUGAAUGAAAUCCUUUGUGGAAUUGAAAGGUGAGGAGAUUAGAUCUUCAUAAUAAUAUGAAUUUUUCUUUUAUAAAUUAAAUAUUAUUAGCAAGGCAUAAUUAGCUCAAAAACAUGAAGACCCUUCAUGCAUCAGUUCCUGUAUCCUGGGUGAAUUUACUAUAAAAGUACAAUGUUUUACCUCCUAAUUUCAAUGCUAAUGGUUGAGUCACAUUCAGGGAGAAAUACAAAUCAGGAAGAAUAAAAAUACUCCCAGGAGGUAAAAAAGAAAAUAAAUGUCCUGUUGAAGUUUACUAAUAACAUGUUUUUCAGAAAGGCAGCCGGUACAUUAUUAAUUAUGUUUUGGUAGUAGCAAACUCUAAGCUCAUUGUUAGAAGUACAAGUUAUACAGACUAUAAAAUAUACAAACCUUAUAUUUAUUCUCCACUUCCUAAUCCUUGCGAUAAAUACUUAAUCUUCCCAAUUUAUUUACCACUCUGUUCGCAGUUACUACUCUAAAACCAACGUGAC
rnacentral:lncRNA from 1 species